GCGCCGGUAGCUCAGCUAGGUAGAGCAGCUGACUCUUAAUCAGCGGGUCGGGGGUUCGAGUCCCUCCCGGCGUACCA
rnacentral:tRNA from 1 species